rnacentral:rRNA from 1 species
AGAGUUUGAUCAUGGCUCAGGACGAACGCUGGCGGCGUGCCUAAUGCAUGCAAGUCGAGCGGGCUACGAUCUUCGGAUUGUAGCUUAGCGGCGAACGGGUGAGUAACACGUAGGUGAUCUACCCUUCAGAGGAGGACAACCUCAGGAAACUGAGGCUAAACCUUCAUACGUUCACUGGUAGGGAUACUGGUGAAGAAAGAGUUACCCCUAGAGGGUAGCUGCUGAAGGAUGAGCCUGCGGCCCAUCAGGUAGUUGGUGAGGUAACGGCUCACCAAGCCGAAGACGGGUAACCGGUCUGAGAGGAUGUCCGGUCACACUGGGACUGAGACACGGCCCAGACUCCUACGGGAGGCAGCAGCAGGGAAUCUUGGGCAAUGGGCGAAAGCCUGACCCAGCGACGCCGCGUGGAGGAAGAAGUCCUUCGGGGCGUAAACUCCUGGACUGGGGGACGAGGAAGGACGGUACCCCAGUAGAAAGGGACGGCUAACUACGUGCCAGCAGCCGCGGUAAAACGUAGGUCCCGAGCGUUGUUCGGAUUCACUGGGUGUAAAGGGCGCGUAGGUGGUUGUCUGUGUCUCAUGUGAAAACUCAGGGCUCAACUCUGAGAUUGCGUGGGAAACUAGGCAGCUAGAGGACGGUAGAGGGGAGUGGAAUUCCCGGUGUAGCGGUAAAAUGCGUAGAUAUCGGGAGGAACACCGGUGGCGAAGGCGGCUCUCUGGGCCGAUCCUGACGCUGAGGCGCGAAAGCUAGGGGAGCGAACCGGAUUAGAUACCCGGGUAGUCCUAGCCGUAAACGAUGGGUGCUAGGUGUUG